rnacentral:rRNA from 1 species
GACGAACGCUGGCGGCGUGCUUAACACAUGCAAGUCGAGCGGUAAGGCCCUUUCGGGGGUACACGAGCGGCGAACGGGUGAGUAACACGUGGGUGACCUGCCCUCAGCUCUGGGAUAAGCCUGGGAAACCGGGUCUAAUACUGGAUAUGACUCCAUGACGCAUGUUGUGGGGUGGAAAGCCUCGUGCGGCUGAGGAUGGGCCCGCGGCCUAUCAGCUUGUUGGUGGGGUGANGGCCUACCAAGGCGACGACGGGUAGCCGGCCUGAGAGGGCGACCGGCCACACUGGGACUGAGACACGGCCCAGACUCCUACGGGAGGCAGCAGUGGGGAAUCUUGCGCAAGUGGGCGAAAGCCUGACGCAGCGACGCCGCGUGAGGAU